UCUAUAUCAGAACAUUAAGAAACAACAAAUUGGAGUUCCCAUCAUGGCUCAGUGGUUAACAUAUCCGACUGGGAACCAUGAGGUUGCGGGUUCAAUCUCACUGGCCUUAAUCAGUGGGUUAAGGAUUGGCGUUGCUGUGAGCUGUGGUGUAGGUUGCAGACGUGGCUCGGAUCCCGAGUUGCUGUGGCUCUGUCAGAUUCGUUAACCACUGAGCAACGACAAGAACUCCCAAAUGUUUUUCUUUUUUAGCAACAAUAAAAUCCAUUGUUAUUUUUGUUGCUACAGGAGAUUUUAAUUUUUAGACUAUUAAUUUCUGUAAUAUAUGAAAUUUUACAAUGGGUAUGUAUUUUUAUUCCUUUUCAAUGCAGAAAGUUUAUUUUUAAAUCUACCCACAGCAAAAAUGAAAGCUUUAACAUUAACUCAGAGAAUCAGAAUUAGGGAAUAGAGAACUGAACAAAUCAUCACAGAUUAAAUUACCCAACUCUUUCCUAUACUCAUGGCCAGAGAGAAGAACUUGUCCAUCACUACUUAGUUAACAGUAAAAAACAAAACAAAUAAAAAAGAACACAAGAGUAUUCUAAUUCGCUUUAGGAUUCCAUAACCUCUUUAAACUGGCAUUUUCCAAAUUACAACCCACAGAACACAUUUGAGAACUUUAGGCUUACAGAGCACAAAGUGUGACAUUAAAUCCAGAUAUUCUAGUGUUAUUUAGUAUAAAUGCUAAAAAUCUUUCUUUUUUACAGGUUAAAACAGGAUAUCAAUUUCUCAUUAAAAUGGCUUUUUAGGUUUAUGUCAACUAUGGAGGCAAGUACAGAUGAAAAGGCAAAACUUGAGCUUUCUCAGUUUACAAAUACUAGUCUGCCACCACUUCCUAUCUUAAGAUGCACCUAUUCUAUCUACAUUGAAAUUCUAUCCUAUAAAUCCCACGUGCUCUUCUGUAACAGAAGACAUGACAUAUGCUACAAUUAACAAAAAGUUCUGGAGUUCUGUUACUAGAAUAAGAGAGUACAUACAUCUUAGAUCAACUCAUGAAAAGCUUUAAAAACAGGAUUAAUUUCUAUAAACCACAAGAAGACAUCUUUCAAAAAUACAAAGUUCUUGUUUAUAUGAAGCUAAGUAAUUAAUAACAAAACAUCCCCUUCCCAUCUCCUAUCACUGGAGCACAUCUGCUUCCCGAUGAAACACUUCCUGUGGCAAAAAUUACCUCCCUUCUAAGUAGUAAUAGAACUCAAAGACACACCUGACAUGUACACAAUUGCUUCUCAUUUAAGAGACAAAGAUAUGUCUAAGAGGGCUAAACAAAGAUUAUUUUUAACAGACAACUGUUGGAAUCUAUAAUAAUUUUUUAAAAUAAGAAAACAUUUCAAAAUAAAGACAAAAACACAUGAUCCCUAAUGCCACAAUCAAAGUUAUUUUUUUAAAUGAAAAAAUAAAGGGAGUUCCCAUUGUGGCUCAGUGGUAAUGAACCCAACUAGCAUCCAUGAGGACGCAGGUUUGAGCCCUCGUCCCACUCAGUGCACUAAGGAUCCGUCAUUGCCAUGAGCUGCAAUGCAGGCUGCAAAUGUGGAUUGGAUCCCGAGUUGCUGUGGCUGUGGUGUAGGCAGAUAGCUGCAGCUCCAAUGAGAUCCCUAGCCUGGGAACUUUCAUAUGCUGCAGGUGCAGUCCUCAAAAGCAAAAGCAAAAUAAAAUAAAAUAAAAUAAAAUAAAAUAAUUUUAAAAAUAAAAAUUUCUGGUUUUCUUCUUACCUCUCUGAUCACACCUUUUCUGUCUCCUUUGAGUUUCAUUCUUCUCUAUCUAGUCUCUAGAUGUUAGAAGUUCUUCUAACUGGGUCCUAGACACCCCGUCUUCAUACUCCUGCCGCACACAUCAUCAUUCACAGUCACCACAGCAACUUAGCAACAUACUCAUAUAUUCAAUUUGACAUUUUACGGCCUCUCAAAUUCAAAAUGUAUAAAACCUAACUUAUGAUCUUUCCUUUAAAGUCUGGUCUUAUUCCAGGGUCUCUUGCCCUAAUAAAAAGUACCAUAUCCACUCAGCUGUACAAGCCCCAAACCUUAGUCAUCUCCCUCUCUUACUGUUCAAUAUCAAACCCAUGAGUCUCACUGUUGUCCCUUCUAAGUAUCAUUUAAUCUAUCUACUUCUCACCAUUUCCUCUAAAUCAACCCACUAUCAUUUCUCACCUGGACUAUAUCAGCCUCCUAAAUUCAUCUACCUACGUAUACUGUGGCCCUCUGCAAACCAUUCCUACUGUAGUCAGAAGAAUCUUUUCAGAAUGUAAAUUUACUGCAUACUGUUUAAAACCUUUCAACCGAACCUUUCAACCGCUUCCCACUACUCUUAAGAAAACAACAACAAACAACCAAAAUUCCUCAACAUAGCCUGGUCCCUACUCACUGCACCCCUCUAGCCUCCCUUCGAAUCCUUUUGGUCCUUCAUACUAGCCACUCUCCUUCCCCACCACAGAGCUCUUGACCACACGGCA
rnacentral:lncRNA from 1 species